rnacentral:rRNA from 1 species
UACGUAGGGGGCAAGCGUUGUCCGGAAUCAUUGGGCGUAAAGAGCGCGUAGGCGGCCCUGUAAGUCCGCUGUGAAAGUCAAAGGGCUCAACCCUUGAAUGCCGGUGGAUACUGCAGGGCUAGAGUCCGGAAGAGGCGAGUGGAAUUCCUGGUGUAGCGGUGAAAUGCGCAGGAUAUCAGGAAGAACACCCGUGGCGAAGGCGGCUCUCUGGGACGGUACUGACGCUGAGACGCGAAAGCGUGGGGAGCGAACAGGG